UACGUAGGGAGCGAGCGUUGUCCGGAAUUACUGGGUGUAAAGGGAGCGUAGGCGGGCUUGUAAGUUGAAUGUCUAAUCCACCGGCUCAACCGGUGAUCGCGUUCAAAACUGCAGGUCUUGAGUGAAGUAGAGGCAGGCGGAAUUCCUAGUGUAGCGGUGAAAUGCGUAGAUAUUAGGAGGAACACCAGUGGCGAAGGCGGCCUGCUGGGCUUUAACUGACGCUGAGGCUCGAAAGCGUGGGGAGCAAACAGG
rnacentral:rRNA from 1 species